AAGUAAUGAUGUUUUCUUCCUAUUCCAUUUCUGAAACAGAUAUGUGGAAUUAAAUUUGCUGAACUU